UACGUAGGUGGCAAGCGUUGUCCGGAUUUACUGGGCGUAAAGCGAACGCAGGCGGACCUUUAAGUAGGAAGUGAAAGGUUGGAGCUCAACUCUAACACUGCUCCCUAUACUGGAGGUCUUGAGUGCCGGAGAGGAGAACGGAACAAGUUGUGUAGCGGUGAAAUGCGUUGAUAUAACUUGGAACACCAAUGGCGAAAGCAAGUUCUCUGGACGGAUACUGACGCUCAGGUUCGAAAGCCAAGGUAGCAAACAGG
rnacentral:rRNA from 1 species